rnacentral:rRNA from 1 species
GACGAACGCUGGCGGCGUGCUUAACACAUGCAAGUCGAACGAUGAAGAAAAGAAUCGAAGCUUCGGCAGAAAUUCAUUUCGGAUUAGUGGCAGACGGGUGAGUAACGCGUGAGCAACCUACCUCUUACAAAGGGAUAGCCUCGGGAAACCGGGAUUAAUACCAUAUAACAUUGCGACGAAGCAUUUCGAUGCAAUCAAAGCUACGGCGGUAAGAGAUGGGCUCGCGUCCCAUUAACCGGAUGGUGAGGUAACGGCUCACCAUAGUGACGAUGGGUAACCGGGCUGGGAGGGUGAACGGUCACACUGGAACUGAGACACGGUCCAGACUCCUACGGGAGGCAGCAGUGGGGAAUAUUGCACAAUGGAGGGAACUCUGAUGCAGCGACGCCGCGUGAGUGAUGAAGGAAUUCGUUUCGUAAAACUCUGUUCUAUGGGAAGAAAAGGACUGUACCAUAGGAGAAAGCUCCGGCUAAAUACGUG